rnacentral:ncRNA from 1 species
CUUAUCAAGAGCGAUGGAGGGAACAGGCCCUGUGAAGUCCGGCAACCUGCAUAUGUAAGGUGCCAAAUCCUGCGGUAUAUCCGAAAGAUGAG